UACAGUGGGAAAUCCAUUGCUGCUGAGGGAAGGGAAAUGAAAAUAUCCUCUACUCAUGUGAGAGGGACAGGAACAAGGACUGGGCUCAGACCUAUAGCUGAAGGGGAGGCAGGAGUCCUGAGAAGGCCACAUCCCAACACCCAGGAACAUAGUAUCUGCCUAAGAAUCAGGUUUAACCAGAACAACAAAGAACACCCCCCCACACACACCAUAAGGCUAACAAGCUCUGAGGAAUGAGUAGCAGUAGAAUACUGAUGGGAGAAUUGCAAGUGGAUUCUCAGGAGGUGCAUUAUACAGGAAAGACCUAAAGUUCAGGAUGGAGCAGGAAUUGAAAAUACCCUCUGGAAAACCAGCUGCUACCCUACAAGGUACUGUUAGACUACAAGGUAUUGUUAGAGGUAUCUGAAGCCUAUGGUACACUGAGGGUAACCAUAGCAACAAUAAACCUCCAACCCAGUCCCACUCCUGACUGUAUUAACCCUGAUUCCCACACAAAAGGAAGAAGAAGCACACCAAUUCCCAGUCAUGAAAACUGUCUACUCCAGUUCCUACUGUCAUACACAAGAUGUUCAGCUUUCAGCAAAAAGUUACGAAGCACAUGGAAGCACAAUUUUAAAAAAAUCAGUACCCUGCCAAGAGACAAAGCAAUCAACAGAAACAGACUCCGAUAUGGUGCAGAUGUUGAAACUAUAUGAUGGGAAAUUUUAAACAACUAUGAUGAACAUAUUAAAGUCUAAUGGAAAUGCAGACAGCAUACAAUAUCAAAUAGGUAAUGUCAGCACAAAGAGGGAAACCACAAGAAAGAAUCAAAUGGAAAUGCUAGAAAUGAAAAAUGUAGAAAUAGAGAUGAAGAACCCCCUUUGAUGGACUCAUCUGUAGGCUUCACACAAUCAAGAAGAGAACCAGUGAACUUGAUGACAGGCAAAUAGAAAUUAGCCAAACCGAAACACAAAGAGAAGAUAGAGGAAAAAAUGAACAAUACAGAAUACUCAAGAGCUGUCUGACAACGUCCAAUAAGAAAUAUGUACUCGGAAUCACAGAAGCAGAGGAGGAGAGAACAGGGCUGAAGAAAUAUGGAAGAAAUAAUGGCUAAGAAUUUCCAAAAGUUGAUGACAGACACAAACCAUAGAUUUAAGAAGAUCAGAGAACAUUGAGCAGGAUAAAUACCAAAAUCAAACAAAAGAACAAACAAAAACCUCAAUGUUAUACUCAAACUCCUGGACAAAAAAAAAGAUAGAAAAUUUUGAAGGCAGCCACAGAAAAAAAACACAUACUGCUGAGGAAUAAGAAUUACAGCACUCCUUGUUAGAAAUGAUGCAAGCAAUAAGGCAAUGGAGUAACACCUUUAAAUGUUGAAAGCAAAAAAAAUCUGUCAAACAAAAAUUCUGUGCCUAGCAAAAUAGCUUCAAUAAAUGAAAGAGAAACAGACAUUCUCAAACAAAAACUGAGAAGAAUUCGAAGGUUUUGUCCUACCGAGAAUAACCCUACCAACAACAAACCUCAAAGCCAGCCCAGCUCCUGGCAAGAUUAACAUUAACCCUCACACUAAAGUCUACCAGAAGGAAAGGCUUUGGAAAUGUUAAAGGAAUAUAGCAUCAGAGAGAAACUCAGAAGACCUGCACAAAGAAAUGAAGAGUGCCGGAAAUACAAUAAAUAAAGGCCCCACCUGCUAAAAAUCACUUCAAGGAUUAGGAUCUCAACAUAUGAAUCUGGGACAGACCAUAGCAGGAGAUCUCCCCAUGUCUCUCAUCCCCCUCCUGGGACCAGUGGGCAGUCCAGGCUCAUGUCUGCUACUAUCCCAUUGGCUGAAGCAAGUCACAUGGCCAAACUCCCCAUCAAAAGCUGAGAAAUACAUUCCAUCCUUGGUGGGAGAGACUACAAAGUUGUGCAGAAUUUCUGGCUCUGGAGUGGCAGCCACUUCCCCGUUCUACGAUUCUGUACGUAGCAUGCCUUUCUGCGUCCAGCCAGGUGGAUGGUAAUACUCAUCUGUAGGCUGUCUUCCACGAGGCAAUAGACUUGGUGUUGGCUUUUCUUGGCCCUCCUGCCCUUAGAAUACCAAAACCAUUUCCAAAAGAAGUAAUGAGAAGUUUGGGAAGAGCAAGGGAGGGUUGAAUAGGUGAAGCCCAGGUGGUAUUUAAGGGUGGUGAAAUUAUUCUGUACAAUACUGUAAUGACUCUAUGCUUUUGUCAAAAUCCAUAGAACUUCACAGAACAAAGAGUAAACUUUGUAAACAUUAAAAAAAAUCAUUUAAGAAGGAGGUCAGGGAUCCCAUUUGGGACUCCCAGGGCGUGGAGCCUUCUCCUUUCGGAGAUAGGUGGAAAGCUUUAGAUGCCUUAGAUGGUGUGCAGUGGCUGAGAAAUCCAGUCCUAGACAAAGCUUUACCUGCACAGUUCGAAGAGGAGGAUUAGCAUUCAACCAAGCCAUGUUCAUGAGCGAUCCACAACUGGAAUCAACAGAAAUGUAUUAAGUAAUCUGGAGCACAGAAACAAGAACAGAGUCCAUGCUACCAGGAAUCAGCAGCACUCAGGACAUGCAUUAUCUCAACCCUGCCUCUUUGGCCUCCUUUUCUAUAACUGUCCCUCUGCACCCUGUGCCCAGCCAACUCCCCAUGCUUCAGUCACUCUUCAUUCUGCCGGUUUCUACAACACUUCAAGAUUUUUCCUACUUGAAUGCCCUUGCCUUACUGUUUCCCAAGCCUGGAAAGCUAUUGCCUCAUCUCUUCACCUGGUUUUUCUCUUUCCCCUCUUUUUUUUUUUAAAGAUUUAUUUAUUAUUUUAGAAGGAGAGAGAGAUCAGGGGGAGGGCAGAAGGAGAGGGAGAGAGAAUCUCAAGCAGACUCCCCGCUGAGCAUGGAGCCUGACAUGGGGCUCGAUCUCACAACCCUGAGAUCAUGACCUGAGCGGAAAUCAAGAGUCAGACACUUGACCGAAGCACCCAGGUGCCCCGCUCUUCCUCCUCUUAAAAUCUCAGCUGAAAUGAUCCUUCCCUAUAGGAGCCUCUUACUAUUCUCUAUCACAGCACCAUUCAUAUUUUGUGUAGCACUUACAUUCUGUAAUUAUAAUGUUCACUUUUAUUGUUUAUGAUCUGCCCCUCCCUCUAUAAUGUAUUUUCCAUAUUUUUCUUUUCACUACUAAUGUAUUCCUAUUAUCUAAAACACUGCUUGGCAUAUAAUAGAUGUUCAAUAAAUAUUGACUGAAGUGGCUACUGUUUGUUUAAUAUUUGGCUCAAGGUCCCAAUGGAGUGUAGACCAUACCUUAGCAUGAGUGUCAUGAGAAUAGUCAGGAAGUCCCACACCGCACACACUAUGCUAAGAAAGAAUCCAUGUGAAACUACUGGCUGGCUACAGCUAAAUCCCUAGUACUCCAAGAAAGACAUCAACAGCAGCUCAAUGUUCAGGUGCUGGCCCACAACUGCUAAGGUGGGGCAAACACCAGCUCAUAGGUAGAAAAUCACCCAUCCAAAAGAAAGACACAGCACUGAGAUAUUACUGCUUUGAUACAAAAUGAAAGUGGAAAGUGGAACAGGUCCAAAUAAAAGAUCCAUAAAAACCUUAGUGGUCAAGCUGCCCCCCCAGGCAUAUUUUGCUGGCAGUUGUCAUUCAGGGUAGGGAGCAGAGGAGAGAUGCCCCACAGGACUUUCAGGGAAGCAGAGAAAGGAGUGAGACAGAGAAGACUUGAACCUACUCCAAAUCUCUAAAGAUCUUCAGACACACUCCAAUGCCUUACAACAACCGAACUGCACACUAUUGAGCGGGGCCUGGGCUGUUUGUGAAGCCACAAAUUCUUCAGAGAUUUGGAGUAGAUACAAAUCUUUGUUUUCCUUGAACCCUGUGCCAUGAUAGAGCAGUAGGCACAGAGCCAUGGGAGAAGGCACUCUGCUGGAGCCCAUGGCAAGGAUCUCAGACUUCAAGUUUCUCUGAUAGGUGGCUGAUGGGCAGAUGUGGGAAUACACCUUCCAGAAUGGCCAUACCUGUCCCCUCGUUGCUUGUGGUUCUUAGGCAAGCUGAUCAAGCCUGAUAACCAUAUAAAACCUGGAGGGGUUUACAAUAGAGGGAUAAACUUUUCCCAGUCCGUGCAGUUGAGAAAGAGUUGUCCAUCCCCUUCUUGGAGGAGCCCAGAGGGAGCAUGGGAUUCUUGUGUGCACUUCAGCAGCAAGUGAACCCCUUCUAUGUUAGCCCAGCCCCUUCACUGCUCAUCCAGUAA